AAGUGUUGGAGGGUUUCCGCCCUUCAGUGCUGCAGCAAACGCAUUAAGCACUCCGCCUGGGGAGUACGACCGCAAGGUUGAAACUCAAAGGAAUUGACGGGGGCCCGCACAAGCGGUGGAGCAUGUGGUUUAAUUCGAAGCAACGCGAAGAACCUUACCAGGUCUUGACAUCCUUUGACCACUCUAGAGAUAGAGCUUUCCCUUCGGGGACAAAGUGACAGGUGGUGCAUGGUUGUCGUCAGCUCGUGUCGUGAGAUGUUGGGUUAAGUCCCGCAACGAGCGCAACCCUUAUUGUUAGUUGCCAUCAUUUAGUUGGGCACUCUAGCGAGACUGCCGGUGACAAACCGGAGGAAGGUGGGGAUGACGUCAAAUCAUCAUGCCCCUUAUGACCUGGGCUACACACGUGCUACAAUGGGAAGUACAACGAGUCGCUAGACCGCGAGGUCAUGCAAAUCUCUUAAAGCUUCUCUCAGUUCGGAUUGCAGGCUGCAACUCGCCUGCAUGAAGCCGGAAUCGCUAGUAAUCGCGGAUCAGCACGCCGCGGUGAAUACGUUCCCGGGCCUUGUACACACCGCCCGUCACACCACGAGAGUUUGUAACACCCGAAGUCGGUGAGGUAACCUUUUUGGAGCCAGCCGCCUAAGGUGGGAUAGAUGAUUGGGGUGAAGUCGUAACAAGGUAGCCGUAUCGGAAGGUGCGGCUGGAUCACCUCCUUUCUAAGGAA
rnacentral:rRNA from 1 species